UACGGGAGGCAGCAGUGGGGAAUAUUGCACAAUGGGCGCAAGCCUGAUGCAGCCAUGCCGCGUGUAUGAAGAAGGCCUUCGGGUUGUAAAGUACUUUCAGUCGUGAGGAAGGUGUUAAGGUUAAUAACCUUAGCAAUUGACGUUAGCGACAGAAGAAGCACCGGCUAACUCCGUGCCAGCAGCCGCGGUAAUACGGAGGGUGCGAGCGUUAAUCGGAAUUACUGGGCGUAAAGGGCACGCAGGCGGUUAAUUAAGUUGGAUGUGAAUCCCCGGGCUUAACCUGGGAAUGGCAUUCAAGACUGGUUAGCUAGAGUCUUGUAGAGGGGGUAGAAUUCCAUGUGUAGCGGUGAAAUGCGUAGAGAUGUGGAGGAAUACCGGUGGCGAAGGCGGCCCCUGGACAAAGACUGACGCUCAUGUGCGAAAGCGUGGGGAGCAAACAGGAUUAGAUACC
rnacentral:rRNA from 1 species